rnacentral:rRNA from 1 species
GUGGGGAAUCUUAGACAAUGGGGGAAACCCUGAUCUAGCCAUGCCGCGUGAGCGAUGAAGGCCUUAGGGUUGUAAAGCUCUUUCAGCUGGGAAGAUAAUGACGGUACCAGCAGAAGAAGCCCCGGCUAACUCCGUGCCAGCAGCCGCGGUAAUACGGAGGGGGCUAGCGUUGUUCGGAAUUACUGGGCGUAAAGCGCGCGUAGGCGGACCAGAAAGUUGGAGGUGAAAUCCCAGGGCUCAACCUUGGAACUGCCUUCAAAACUCCUGGUCUUGAGUUCGAGAGAGGUGAGUGGAAUUCCGAGUGUAGAGGUGAAAUUCGUAGAUAUUCGGAGGAACACCAGUGGCGAAGGCGGCUCACUGGCUCGAUACUGACGCUGAGGUGCGAAAGCGUGGGGAGCAAACAGGAUUAGAAACCCCUGUAGUCC